rnacentral:rRNA from 1 species
UACGGAGGGGGGUAGCGUUGUUCGGAAUUACUGGGCGUAAAGCGCACGUAGGCGGAUCAGAAAGUUGGGGGUGAAAUCCCAGGGCUCAACCCUGGAACUGCCUUCAAAACUCCUGAUCUGGAGUUCGAGAGAGGUGAGUGGAAUUCCGAGUGUAGAGGUGAAAUUCGUAGAUAUUCGGAGGAACACCAGUGGCGAAGGCGGCUCACUGGCUCGAUACUGACGCUGAGGUGCGAAAGCGUGGGGAGCAAACAGG